GAUGAACGCUGACAGAAUGCUUAACACAUGCAAGUCUUUGGCGAAGCUGUGCUCGCACAGCCUAGCCAAGGCGGACGGGUGAGUAACGCGUAAGGAACUUGCCCUGCAGUCAGGGAUAACAGACGGAAACGACUGAUAAGACCUGGUAAAGUCAGGCGGACUCAUGUCCAGCCUGAUGAAAAGAGAUGCUGCAGGAGAGCCUUGCGUCCUAUUAGCUUGUUGGUGGGGUAACGGCCCACCAAGGCGAUGAUAGGUAGCCGGCCUGAGAGGGUGGACGGCCACACGGGGACUGGGAUACGGCCCUUACUCCUACGGGAGGCAGCAGUGGGGAAUAUUGGACAAUGGGGGCAACCCUGAUCCAGCAUUUCUGUGUGCACGAUGAAGGUUUUCGGAUUGUAAAGUGCUUUCAGCAGGGAAGAAAAAAAUGACGGUACCUGCAGAAGAAGCGACGGCUAAUUACGU
rnacentral:rRNA from 1 species